UUCCUGGCGCCUGCAGCUUCGAAUCUUUCACCUGGCCAGCGGGGCCACAUUCACACCCUGCCACACAUAUUCAGUCCCACUCCGACAUGCUGCUGCUUCUGCUCCUCUGGAGCGAUUCCUUCUGGCUCCUUCUGGUAAUAUGAGCGCAUUGUGUGCCAUUUGAAGCUGAAGUUGUUUCGUGGUGGCACCCUUGGACUGAGUAUAAUCAUUUUGACCCGAAGUUGGCACGGAAGUGUGUCUAUAACUGGAAAGUACCUCUGCGCGGCAAGGGUAUUGCCACUUGCGACUGCGUUUCUUUGUACUUUUCAACCAGGUUCUCCCAUUUGGCUGCUUUUUUGUUUUUCUGCCAAAAGUUGUGUGGCUCUGCAGACAUGCGUCUGAGGUGGAGUACCUUUUUGUCUAGCUAAGACUUGUUUAAAGUAGUUUGAAAUAUUCCCAAAAAGAACUCCAAAGAACCACAGUUCCAUGUUCGAUCAGCGAUCGCCCAGCCCUGACUUGGCAAAGAGAGCGAAACGGUGAGAGAGAGAGAG
rnacentral:lncRNA from 1 species